rnacentral:lncRNA from 1 species
AGUUCAGGAGGGACAAGGACGUGGAAGGAGCCCAGCAGAGGGCACCCGGGACCCCCGCGGCCGGGCCGAGUUUGAAGGGAGCCCCUCUCCCCCUCCCCCUGGCGGAGCCCCCUGUAGGGUCUGACCUGGUGCCCCGCAACAGGAGCGGGAGGAGGAGCAGGCCCAGAGCGGCCGGGCCCCAGCCUAGAGGGGCGCUCGAGGGGAAGCGAGUGAAGUGAGGGCUCCGCCAGAGCAGCACCCCCUUCCCCGCCGUCCCUCCCGGACUGGCCGGUUCUCGUCAGAGAUUCCUUUGUCUUCGACGCUGGUCCCUCCACACCAAGAUGAAGAAAUUGAGAAACAGAAAGUAUGAUGAUUUGCUUAAGACCAGAUGACAAUUAUCUGCAGAAUGAAGACAAUCCUGACCUCCAUCAGUGGAUCCCUUCGCCACCUCCACAGUCUCCCCAUUGCAUGGACACAGACACAUGACAGAUGCACACAUAUGUGCAAAACACUUAUACAGAACACACUCCUCCACCUCCACCUCACUACCACGCAAUCCCAAGACAGCAUUGCCCUUCUCUGGACCCAGCCACUCGGUCAACACAUAUUUACGAACAUUAUGCUAGGCACUGGCAAUAAAAUAAUGAACACCAGAAGACACAGUUCCUGAGUCUCACAGAGAUGACCCAGGAUCAUUCAGAGUCUAGGAUGAGGCAGGGAUUAGGUGGGGAUGAGGAUGAUAAGAGCAGCGUUGGGGAAGUACAGGAUAAGAUGAGAACACACACCAAGGGCACCUAACUUUUUCUCUGGAGGACCAGGAAAGGCACCCUGGAGGAUGAGACAUCCGAGCUGAGGUGCAAAAGAUGGGUUGGAGUUGGCAAGGCCCAAAGUGAGGCUAAAAAGAGAGUUGAGGGGAGUGUUCCACACAGAGGAAGGAACAUGUGUCCAUUGAGGCUGCAGAGGAAGCAGGUAUCUGCAUGUGAAGGCGGCAAACCUUGUUGGUGUUGAUGGAGUUGGUGUUUGUCUUGCAGGCACUGGAAAGCCAUUGACGGAUUUAGUGAGUGCCACUGGUGACAAGCUCUUAUUAAGACAUUCUCCUUUUGCCCACUAUAAGAAUCUAUGGAUAUAAAUGUUUUCUGAUCCUACCUUAAGAUAUACUCUGGCUACAGCAUCUGCAAAAAUAUAGAUACUCAACUUCAGGAUAUGUUUUCAGUUUAGGCUGCCACCUCCAUUUCACCUGCUUUUGCCACUCUUCUUGGGUCUUUGUGAUCUGUGCCAGGUUGGCCUGGAUAACCACUGUGACCAAGAUGCAUGGAUAUACCAGUUUGUGGGCCAGACAGCUUCUAAGUCUUCCCUGCUCUCAGCCUCAGCUUUACUCCAGGGCCUAAACUCCAGCUGUCCAGCUGACAGAGUAUCAAUUGACCAGACAAAAUCCCUCACGAAUACUGGAAAACAAGUUUAAACUAUAAUUAGAAGUAUGUGGGCUAGCAAAUUCUACCCUCGUUCGUUCAGCAAAGGGAAGCCAUUAUUGAUAUUUAACAAGUUAUAGAUAAUAGAAAUUAUCAAUGAAAAUGAUACGUGGCUCAUAUAUUCAAUAGAUAAGUGAUCAAUAUUUAGAUAAUAAGUGAAAUCUUACAGGAACUUGUAAAAAGAGAAAGCUUCAUACACAAAGAAAUGGUGAAAUAAAUUAUGGUUUAAAAAAUAAAACAUAU